GAUGAACGCUGGCGGCGUGCCUAAUACAUGCAAGUCGAGCGAACAGACGAGGAGCUUGCUCCUCUGACGUUAGCGGCGGACGGGUGAGUAACACGUGGAUAACCUACCUAUAAGACUGGGAUAACUUCGGGAAACCGGAGCUAAUACCGGAUAAUAUAUUGAACCGCAUGGUUCAAUAGUGAAAGACGGUUUUGCUGUCACUUGGGGAUGGAUCCGAGCCGCAUUAGCUGGUUGGUGGGGGAGCGGCUUACCAAGGCGACGAGGCGUAGCCGGCCUGAGAGGGGGAACGGCCACAUUGGGAAUGAGAGAAGGAGCAGAAUCCUAAGGGAGGCAGAAGUGGGGAAUAGGGAAAAAUGGGCGGAAGAAUGAUACAGCAACGCCGAGUGCGGGAUGAUGGCAUUAGGGUGGUAAACCGCUGUGGAAGGUGAAGAAGCGUGAGUGAAGGUAAGGGGUAAAGAAGAAACGGCUAACUACGUG
rnacentral:rRNA from 1 species